CCGGCCAACUUUUGCUUUGCUGAUAUAAAUCAAGCUCUAUUUUGUUGUUGAGCAACAACAUGGUGUACACAGUAACAAGAAAACACAUGAACAUGCUGAUCAGUAGGGAAGCUGACCAACUCGCAGCCCUUGCUGGAGCAGUUGCCUCCACCCCCAUCCGUGAUUCCAGGUAUGUUAGCCACAGGAGUUCAAAAAUUAGCUUCUUUCAACUGAAUAAAAUGUCACGCAAGUUCAGGUAUACUUGCUGCAUGAGUUCAAAAAAUAUGAAGAGAUGAAGCUCAAACCAAGUUCAAAAACUGUUUCCUUCAUAAAUUAGUUAUUUUUUGGUUAAUUUGUUGUUAUGAAUAGUACAAAUACACACUGUUGUGUAGUACAUGUGUGUAUUGUAAUUGUAAUUGUGGUUUGGAGUUCAGAAAAAGAUAAGAAAAAGGUUGAUAGAAGAACCCAAAACAUUUGGUAGUUCUGUAAGCCCAAAAUUUGAGUUCGACAUGUUUUCUAUCAUCAACUCAUUAAGAACCCCAGAAAACGGUUCAAUGUGUCUGUUCAAAAAAAUAGUGUUGCUAUAUAUAAAAAAUUAGUAGCUCGGCAAAAAGAAGUUUAACCGAUUCAGUGCAAGUUUUGCUUCUAAAAUCUGGCAUUGUUCAUCAUGUACUGAUCCAUUUAACCUGUGGAUGUGUUUAAAAAACAAGUGUUUGGCAUGUACAUAAAAUUCCUUAAAAACAAAGAGUAAAUAGUAUCAGUGAGUUCUAGUACCUAAACUGCAGAAGUUCAUUGACAAAAAAAAUAUCAGUACAAUAUGGUGCUUCAGUUAGAAUAUCACUGAUGCUAUUUGCUUCAUAGUUUCUCUAUUAUUUUAACUUUUAUUUGAAGCUUUUUGUUUGUAAAUUCUGCAUCUUUUUUGUUUACAUACUAUAAGCAUUAUACUGGUACUUGGACUAGAGUACAAGUAUUACUUCCAGGCAAGUUCGAAAUGAAACGCGCAGCAUGUUCUAUGUUCAUUUAGCAAAUAGCUGAGAGACAGCACUGGAGUGCAUGAAACCUAUUUGAUGCUUUGUCCAUGAGACUUCAACGCUUUAAAAAAAGACAGGAUGUGCGCACCUCUUCGUAUAGCAACAAAGAGAAAAAGGCUAGUGCUCCUAGUGGUGCCCCUUAGAAUAUGAAGUGUACGUCCUCCUACUGAUUGCUUCUUGCUUCCACUUUUUAUCAUGAUUUUGUCUGUGCACUAUAGGAGUGCUUUUUGUCUCUGUAAAUCAGGUGCUCAACAACAUAAUCAUGUGCCAUUCAGUACAUGUAUUACUACUGGGAGGUUCAAAAAUCAGAACUCAAAAAGUUCAACCUUGGUGGUAUUGUGCACAUGCAAAAUUAGAUAAGUACUUGUUAAAAUUGCUCCCAAUAUUUGAUGUAUUCCAUGCAAUGCUUACUCGAUUGCUCUAAAAAAGUGUCAUGUAAUUGUGAAUUUACUAAUGGUAUAGCAGUUAAAUAUGUAUUAUAUCACCGGAUCAUAAUGAAAUGCAGAAACAGUUUGAUGUGUGUAUAUGCAUCCGUUCAUACUUGUCAUUUCUUUUUCCUUUGUUGUUUUUUAUUGGUACACAUGUGGUUCAGGAAAAAAAGUGAUCCAAAGUUCAAAGAAAAACCAUUGUGGAGUUGAUGUUCCAAGUUAUAUAGUGAUUCAAUACACAAAAAUUUGUAGCGGUUCAGCAAAAUGAUUCAUAUCAGUACAAACUCCAGAGGUCAUAAGUUCAGAGGACAAAAAUUUAGCAAAAACAACCAUAUUUUUUGUAUUGUUAUACAUAAAAAAAUCAAAAUUUUCAGUUCACCUUUGUGUGUGUUUGCAGAUCAUCUUACAUGUGUCAAGCACCAAACCGACACCCCUAGUACCCACCGCGACUUGUGCUGCUGGUGCUAGUGUGGAUGUGUACCAAGUUCAACUACCAGUCUACUCCGAGUUCAGGUAUGUUGUCGUGGACAACCAUAAGGCAAGUUGUAAUAUUCCUAUUUAGUACUACUUGUUAGUGUUUUUUUAACUCUCUUCAUUUCUUUAUAAUAGGGUAGUUCAAUUUUGCUAAUUUGUACGGUUCUCUAGUUAGAAAACUAGUGGAUCGUUUUUUUAGUUCUUGCGGUCUACAAAAUUAUUUGACCACCGUCGUUGGCACUUCUUCUUCGACAUCUCCUAAAGUUCAGCUUUCGUCAUCUCAUCCUUGUAUCUCCAUGUAUGUUCAAUCGUUGCUCGCUUAAGAGUUUAAAAAAGAAGAUUUCAAACAGUGAUCUCUAAAUAUUUUCUUGAUCACUAAACAUGACCAAUUUUAGCAUGUUUCCUGAAAUAUUUUAGCAUGUUUUAUGUUUUCAUCGACAAAGUUCACACACUCUGUCUCGGACGUUCAAAUACUUGUUUCCCUGAUGUUCAGAUAUUAUUGUCUAGGAAUACAUGUUGUAACUUCGAGAGAAAAAGUUCAUGCUGAUUACUCCCGUCAAGUGUAAAAGUUUGCCAAUAUGCAAUCCAUAAGUUCAAUAUCCAGUACAUUAGUUUAGUAGUUGGUACUAACUACUCCAGUUUUUUAUUCGAUGUACCUGUGGUGUCUAGUUUUUCUGUCAGUUAGAUUUCUAAAUUUCAUCGAGUUCAAUUCAUAUUGUAGCUCCAAUUUAGUCCACGUGGUUAAUUGUUGGCUGGUGUGUCUGCAGGGUAUCGUGACAUUGAGUAGGCGCGAAGUGUAUCACUCCAGCACGCCAAGCUCCAUUACACUGCCUGUGGGGCUCUGCUGCCGGAGCACCCUGGCCAUUCACAGCAACCACUCCAGGCCGUUCAACGCCACCACCCCAGGCCGUUCAUUGCCAGCAGCACCCUGGAUCCCACCCCUCAUCCUAGGAGUUUUAGUUAUUGAGUUAGUUCCUGUCCAACUUGAGCUUUCAGUACAACUUGAGCUCCCUGAGAUGAUCAUAUAAUCAACUUCAAAAUUACUACAUGGUCCAUGUAUUUUAUAGCAAGUCCAUGUAGUACUACAUGCGAAGUACAAAAAUUACUGCUAGUGAGAGUUCAUUUAAAUCCUGGUCAGUUCAUCUCCUCGAAACAUAUUUACUUCUGCUCUGCUCUGAUCUUUCAACUGAAUUGUUGAUGCUGCAUCCUCUCUCUCAUGGUGUGAUGUUGUUGCUCUCUCAUAGCUAAAACAUGGUCCCAUAAACAUCCUAUAGCUGACCACAAUCUGUAAUUCUUAAACUACAUGUUGUCCUGGUCCUUGAGCUGCUAUCGCUCCACCGCCGUGUACAGGAAGUUCAACGCUGCAACGAUAGGCCAUUCAAUCUCUCCGUCGUGGACACGCCCCUCCACCUCCUUCUGGUUGCUAGUCAUCCCAGUGUGGCCAGGCUGUUGGGUUCGCCGUCGCUGCGAUCAGCAGUUCAACCCGGCCGCCCCAGGCCGUUCAUCGUCGCAGCUCCCUGGCCGACUGUGUCGAGCCACCUUCCGCCUGCACCUAGGGCUCCUGUAUGCGUCCCCUACCCCAGCAGGUGCACACGUCCCGACCCACUGUUCCCUGUGUUGUUCUUUUGACCUUGAACUAUAUAGGAUACAACUUUUAUUUGAUUUUCAGUUCACCUUUUCCGUUCUUUUCAGUUCAUAAACUUUAAUGUGUUGAUGAAAUCCUGAAAUAUCAUAUGUGCACUCUAUGUAUUUGUUUUUAUGCCUACGAACAAUUAUUCACUUGUGCUGUUAUGCAUCAGUUUUGGUCACCAAAUAAAUGGAGGUUUAGAUAUGACAAAAUGGAUUAGAGCACCAUGUCCUCACCCAGAAGUAUGAAAACAAAUCAUUGCUUUCAGUUCUAGUAAAAUGUUUUUUUAAACUAGACUGCUGAUCCUUUCUGUAAUGGGCUUUAUAUAUUAUCUUUCUGUAGGAAAAUAUGGUGGCCUUCAACAAGUAAUCUUUCUCUAACGGGCAUCCUAUGCCUGCGCCAUCGAGAGCGUGAUCCUACUUGCUGCGUGCUCACGGCGACCACA
rnacentral:lncRNA from 1 species